GAGAGGUUGGUGCGGGCGAGCGCCUCGCCAACCCGGUCAGGUCCGGAAGGAAGCAGCCGCAACGAGUU
rnacentral:SRP_RNA from 1 species